AGAGUUUGAUCAUGGCUCAGAACGUACGCUGGCGGCACGCCUAACACAUGCAAGUCGAACGAAGUAGCAAUACUUAGUGGCAGACGGGUGAGUAACAUGUGGGUAUCUGCCCUUUGGCCUGGAAUAACACGAGGAAACUUGUGCUAAUACUGGAUAAGUCUUUACGGAGAAAGCUUUAUGCACCAUUGGAUGAGCCCGCACUUGAUUAGUUUGUUGGUGGGGUAAUGGCCUACCAAGACUGUGAUCAAUAGCUGAUUUGAGAGGAUGAUCAGCCACAUUGGGACUGAGACACGGCCCAAACUCCUACGGGAGGCAGCAGUGGGGAAUCUUGCACAAUGGAGGAAACUCUGAUGCAGCGAUGCCGCGUGAGUGAAGAAGGCCCUUGGGUUGUAAAGCUCUUUCGUCGGGGAAGAAAAUGACUGUACCCGAAUAAGAAGGUCCGGCUAACUUCGUGCCAGCAGCCGCGGUAAUACGAAGGGACCUAGCGUAGUUCGGAAUUACUGGGCUUAAAGAGUUCGUAGGUGGUUGAAAAAGUUGGUGGUGAAAUCCCAGAGCUUAACUCUGGAACUGCCAUCAAAACUUUUCAGCUAGAGUAUGAUAGAGGAAAGCAGAAUUUCUAGUGUAGAGGUGAAAUUCGUAGAUAUUAGAAAGAAUACCAAUUGCGAAGGCAGCUUUCUGGAUCAUUACUGACACUGAGGAACGAAAGCAUGGGUAGCGAAGAGGAUUAGAUACCCUCGUAGUCCAUGCCGUAAACGAUGUGUGUUAGACGUUGGAAAUUUAUUUUCAGUGUCGCAGCGAAAGCGAUAAACACACCGCCUGGGGAGUACGACCGCAAGGUUAAAACUCAAAUGAAUUGACGGGGACCCGCACAAGUAGUGGAGCAUGUGGUUUAAUUCGAAGAUACGCGCAGAACCUUACCAACACUUGACAUGUUCGUCGCGACUUUAAGAGAUUAAAGUUUUCGGUUCGGCCGGACGAAACACAGGUGCUGCAUGGCUGUCGUCAGCUCGUGUCGUGAGAUGUUGGGUUAAGUCCCGCAACGAGCGCAACCCUCACUUUUAGUUGCCAUCAUUUAGUUGGGCACUCUGAAAGAACUGCCAGUGAUAAGCUGGAGGAAGGUGGGGAUGACGUCAAGUCCUCAUGGCCCUUACGUGUUGGGCUACACACGUGCUACAAUGGUAUCUACAACAGGAAGCGAAACAGCGAUGUUAAGCAAAUCCUUAAAAGAUACCUCAGUUCGGAUUGCACUCUGCAACUCGAGUGCAUGAAGCUGGAAUUACUAGUAAUCGUGGAUCAGCGUGCCACGGUGAAUGCGUUCCCGGGUCUUGUACACACCGCCCGUCACACCAUGGGAGUUGGUUCUACCUUAAGGCAAGGUUUAAUACCCUUGACCACGGUAUAGUCAGCGACUGGGGUGAAGUCGUAACAAGGUAACCGUA
rnacentral:rRNA from 1 species